rnacentral:rRNA from 1 species
CCUACGGGUGGCAGCAGUGAGGAAUAUUGGUCAAUGGCCGAGAGGCUGAACCAGCCAAGUCGCGUGAGGGAAGACGGCCCUACGGGUUGUAAACCUCUUUUGUCGGGGAGCAAAGCGAGUCACGUGUGACUCAUUGAGAGUACCCGAAGAAAAAGCAUCGGCUAACUCCGUGCCAGCAGCCGCGGUAAUACGGAGGAUGCGAGCGUUAUCCGGAUUUAUUGGGUUUAAAGGGUGCGCAGGCGGAGGUGCAAGUCAGCGGUCAAAUUGCGGGGCGCAACCCCGUACUGCGGGUGAAACUGCAUAGCUGGAGGGCGGGAGAGGUGUGCGGAAGUCGGGGUGUAGCGGGGAAAUG